CAAAAGCUUGGUCCUGACUUUACUAUCAGCUUUAGCUUAAUUUACACAUGCAAGUAUCCGCACCCCCGUGAGAAUGCCCCACAGUUCCCCGCCCGGGAACAAGGAGCUGGUAUCAGGCACACCCAUCUCAGCCCACGACGCCUUGCUUAGCCACACCCUCAAGGGUAGUCAGCAGUGAUAGACCUUAAGCCAUAAGUGAAAACUUGACUUAGUCAAAGCUAAGAGGGUCGGUAAAACUCGUGCCAGCCACCGCGGUUAUACGAGAGACCCAAGUUGAUAGACCCCGGCGUAAAGAGUGGUUAAGGAAAAGCUAACACUAAAGCCGAACGUCUUCAAUACUGUUAUACGCAUCCGAAGAUAAGAAGCCCAACUACGAAAGUGGCUUUACACCCCACCCCGAACCCACGAAAGCUAUGACACAAACUGGGAUUAGAUACCCCACUAUGCUUAGCCCUAAACAUUGAUAGCAAAAUACGUCCGCUAUCCGCCCGGGAAUUACGAGCAUUAGCUUGAAACCCAAAGGACUUGGCGGUGCUUUAGACCCACCUAGAGGAGCCUGUCCUAGAACCGAUAAUCCCCGUUCAACCUCACCCUUCCUUGUUCUCCCCGCCUAUAUACCGCCGUCGUCAGCUUACCCUGUGAAGGGCCUAUCGUAAGCAAAAUUGGCAUCGCCCAAAACGUCAGGUCGAGGUGUAGCGUAUGGAAGGGGAAGAGAUGGGCUACAUUCCCUAAUGCAGGGAAUACGAAUGAUGUCCUGAAACGUUCAUCCUGAAGGAGGAUUUAGCAGUAAGCAGAAAAUAGAGAGUUCUACUGAAGCCGGCCCUGAAGCGCGCACACACCGCCCGUCAUUCUCCCCAAACUUAAAAAUUUUAGUAACUAAAAACAGAGCACUCCGAAGGGGAGGCAAGUCGUAACAUGGUAAGUGUACCGGAAGGUGCACUUGGAAAAAAU
rnacentral:ncRNA from 1 species